CCCUACAUCCUGCUUAAGCCUCGUUCCGUAACAGGACUAUUAGAGCUGGGGCCUAAUUUAAGCAGUAGGUCUACUGUCUAGACAUGGGCCUAAAUUUAACUUUAAAAUAAAAUAAUAAAAAAAAACAACAACUCAUAAUCAGGAUCAUAAAUAAUCACAGGAGAAAAGUGAUGGUCAAGCAGACAAGGUUUCUUUCAAGAAAACGGGGGCAAUCAGAGGUCAGUGCCAGCUCCACUACUGAAAUGAUAAGGAUUCUCCAUGGAACCCUCCAUGGCCCUCUUCGAAGAGAGGUUACUCUGGAUGUCUGAAGCCUGUUAACAUGAUGUUGAGAUGUUUUAUAUAUAAGGGUCACCCCACCAGUACCAGUGGCUAUACCCCAAGCCACCCAAACUGUUCCAGUGCCUGUUCCUGGAAUGAAGGACACCACCCAGUCUGUUCCAGUUAAUGUUCCUGGCGUGAAGGACGCUGCUUGGCCUGUUCCAGUUCCUAUUCCUGGCACAGUGGAUGCCGCUUGGCCUGUUCCAGUUCCUGUUCCCGGCAGAGUGGAUGACUCAUGUCUUUUAGUUUUGCUUUACUUGUUGUAGUUCUGUUCCUUAGUUUCAUUUUCUCCACCCCUCAUGAGUGGCACCUGUGUCUAGUUAAGUCCUCAUUACCCUGUGUAUGUAAACCUUACCUUUUUACUUGUGUGUUUGCUGGUCAUUGCUAAUUCUAGCCUCUGUUUGUCAUUGUGUGCUUUUGGAUGUUUUAUUAUGUAUUCCCAGACUCUGUGCUGGCUCUAUGACCCAGGUCCAUUGUAACAACUCUGAAUAUGGAUUUGCCCUUAAUAAAUCUCAUUCUUCUCAGCA